rnacentral:rRNA from 1 species
AGUGAACGCUGGCGGUAGGCCUAACACAUGCAAGUCGAACGGCAGCACAGUAAGAGCUUGCUCUUACGGGUGGCGAGUGGCGGACGGGUGAGGAAUACAUCGGAAUCUACUUUUUCGUGGGGGAUAACGUAGGGAAACUUACGCUAAUACCGCAUACGACCUACGGGUGAAAGCAGGGGAUCUUCGGACCUUGCGCGAUUGAAUGAGCCGAUGUCGGAUUAGCUAGUUGGCGGGGUAAAGGCCCACCAAGGCGACGAUCCGUAGCUGGUCUGAGAGGAUGAUCAGCCACACUGGAACUGAGACACGGUCCAGACUCCUACGGGAGGCAGCAGUGGGGAAUAUUGGACAAUGGGCGCAAGCCUGAUCCAGCCAUGCCGCGUGGGUGAAGAAGGCCUUCGGGUUGUAAAGCCCUUUUGGUGGGAAAGAAAAGCAGCAGGUUAAUACCCCGCUGUUCUGACGGUACCCAAAGAAUAAGCACCGGCUAACUUCGUG